rnacentral:rRNA from 1 species
UACGGGGGGGGCAAGCGUUGUUCGGAAUUACUGGGCGUAAAGGGCUCGUAGGUGGCCAACUAAGUCGGACGUGAAAUCCCUCGGCUUAACCGGGGAACUGCGUCUGAUACUGGAUGGCUUGAGUUUGGGAGAGGGACGCGGAAUUCCAGGUGUAGCGGUGAAAUGCGUAGAUAUCUGGAGGAACACCGGUGGCGAAGGCGGCGUCCUGGACCAACACUGACACUGAGGCACGAAAGCUAGGGGAGCAAACAGG